rnacentral:rRNA from 1 species
ACGGAAGGCAGCAGUGGGGAAUAUUGGGCAAUGGGCGAAAGCCUGACCCAGCAACGCCGCGUGAAGGAAGAAGGUCUUCGGAUUGUAAACUUCUUUUAUGAGGGACGAUAAUGACGGUACCUCAUGAAUAAGCCACGGCUAACUACGUGCCAGCAGCCGCGGUAAUACGUAGGUGGCAAGCGUUAUCCGGAUUUACUGGGUGUAAAGGGCGCGUAGGCGGGAAAGCAAGUCAGAUGUGAAAUCCAUGGGCUCAACUCAUGAACUGCAUUUGAAACUGUUAGUCUUGAGUGUCGGAGAGGUAAGCGGAAUUCCUAGUGUAGCGGUGAAAUGCGUAGAUAUUAGGAGGAACACCAGUGGCGAAGGCGGCUUACUGGACGAUAACUGACGUUGAGGCUCGAAAGCGUGGGGAGCAAACAGGAUUAGAUACCCUGGUA